AGCCUCGGGUUUAAGGACUUCGAGUUAUUCAAUCUUGCGAUGCUGGCCAGGCAAGCGUGGCGUCUGCUACAAGGUCCGGAUACACUUUGUGCGCGCCUCCUUAAAAGCAUCUAUUACCCAAACAGGGAGUUUCUCGAAGCCGAACUGGGAAGCCAUCCAAGCCAGGUGUGGCGAGCCAUUAUGGAUGGAAAAGACACUCUCAAUAUGGGGCUAAUCAGACGCAUCGGCAAUGGUGAUGACACUAAUAUAUGGACUCAUAACUGGCUACCC
rnacentral:rRNA from 1 species